AUUGAACGCUGGCGGCAGGCCUAACACAUGCAAGUCGAGCGGGGUUUUCGGACCUAGCGGCGGACGGGUGAGUAAUGCGUAGGGAGCUGCCCGAUAGAGGGGGAUACCAGUUGGAAACGACUGUUAAUACCGCAUAAUGUCUACGGACCAAAGUGUGGGACCUUCGGGCCACAUGCUAUCGGAUGCACCUACGUGGGAUUAGCUAGUUGGUGGGGUAACGGCUCACCAAGGCGACGAUCCCUAGCUGGUUUGAGAGGAUGAUCAGCCACACUGGAACUGGGACACGGUCCAGACUCCUACGGGAGGCAGCAGUGGGGAAUAUUGGACAAUGGGGGCAACCCUGAUCCAGCCAUGCCGCGUGUGUGAAGAAGGCCUUCGGGUUGUAAAGCACUUUCAGCGAGGAGGAAGGGUGAUGUUUUAAUAGAGCAUCAUUUUGACGUUACUCGCAGAAGAAGCACCGGCUAACUCUGUGCCAGCCGCCGCGGUAAAAC
rnacentral:rRNA from 1 species